CAGUCGCCGCGGUAAUACGGAGGGUGCAAGCGUUAAUCGGAAUUACUGGGCGUAAAGCGCACGCAGGCGGUUUGUUAAGUCAGAUGUGAAAUCCCCGAGCUUAACUUGGGAACUGCAUUUGAAACUGGCAAGCUAGAGUCUUGUAGAGGGGGGUAGAAUUCCAGGUGUAGCGGUGAAAUGCGUAGAGAUCUGGAGGAAUACCGGUGGCGAAGGCGGCCCCCUGGACAAAGACUGACGCUCAGGUGCGAAAGCGUGGGGAGCAAACAGGAUUAGAUACCCCGGUAGUCCCUGUCUCUUAUAC
rnacentral:rRNA from 1 species